CUACUGUUACUAAGAUUGUAGAGUCCCGUCGCAUCUUUUAUUUUAAAACAUGGGAACACACAAAAAAAUAAUACAUUGUCUUUUACGCCAGUUCCACCUUUGGAUCAAAUUCAGUUCGAUUCGGAAGAUAACUUAGAUUGUGGUAGCUGGAAAUCUCCAGGCCUGUCUCUGUAUCGUCCCAGUCUGUUGGGGAUGAUGCAGAAUGCCUGGAAGACAUACAUGUACUUUAAUACAACCAAUGACAAUAAAAUUGAUGAGAAUAAUAACCAUAUUGAUUUGACCGUAUGAUCUUCAGUUCCAGAGGUACAAAUGCCAAAGGUCAUCAGGAAAUAGAGAAUUUUCAUCUGCUUGACUGUU
rnacentral:lncRNA from 1 species